UGGGAAGCAGGUUAAUAUUCCUGCACCGUCGUAUGAUGCGAUGGGGGGACGGAUCGCGGAAGGUUGUCUGCCUGUUGGAAUAGGCAGUUUCUGGUUCAUAGAAGGCGCUUAGGCAAAUCCGGGCGCGCAAUUCAAGGGACUGGGACGAGGCAUUUAGGUGCUGAAGCAAUCGGAAGUGGUUCCAAGAAAAGCCUCUAAGCUUCAGUCAUACGAGACCGUACCGCAAACCGACACAGGUGGGCGAGAUGAGUAUUC
rnacentral:rRNA from 1 species